CUUUGACCCGGAUAUGUCGACAAAAGAGGACGAAACUAACGUCAUACGUUCUGCUCUGGUCUGGACCUACGUAGAGCUUAAGUGUUUCACAAUGCAAAGUUAGCCACGUUGUUACAAAGUCUAGGCAUGUGCGACAGACCUUCGGGUGAACUCCUAACAUCAGCUGGAACUCUACCUUUUCUCACAGAUUUGCACACUCUUCUUGAAGCUGGUGAUCCAGUCUCCCUCCCUAUCCAAGAGCUAAGGUAGGUGGUAUCCUCCUACCUACUCUGUUUACUCAUACAGGACAGCAUCAGCAGAAGAGAGAUGGGACGAACAUCAAAGGAUAAACGGGAUGUCUACUACCGCCUGGCCAAGGAGAAUGGCUGGCGGGCCCGAAGCGCCUUCAAGCUACUUCAACUUGAUGAGGAAUUCCAACUCUUCCAAGGUGUGAAGCGAGUGGUUGACCUGUGUGCGGCCCCGGGCAGCUGGAGCCAGGUGCUGAGCCAGAAGGUUGGGGGCCAGACUAACGGUCAGGUGGUAGCUGUGGACUUGCAGGCUAUGGCUCCACUCCCCGGCGUGAUACAGAUCCAGGGGGACAUCACUCAGCUUUCCACUGCCAAGGAGAUCAUCCAGCACUUUGAGGGCUGCCCUGCCGACCUAGUAGUGUGUGACGGGGCUCCUGAUGUCACUGGCCUCCAUGAUGUCGAUGAGUACAUGCAGGCCCAGCUUCUGCUAGCUGCCCUCAACAUUGCUACACAUGUCUUGAAGCUAGGGGGCUGCUUUGUAGCCAAGAUAUUCCGAGGCCGAGAUGUAACACUGCUCUACAGCCAACUGCGUGUCUUCUUCUCCAGCGUGCUCUGUGCCAAGCCCAAGAGCAGCCGGAAUUCCAGCAUUGAGGCCUUUGCUGUUUGUCAGGGUUAUGACCCUCCUGAGGGCUUCAUUCCAGACCUGACCAGACCCCUGCUGGACCACUCCUACGAUUCAGAUUUCAACCAGCUAGAUGGUCCUACCCGUGUUAUUGUGCCCUUUGUGACCUGUGGGGACCUCAGCGCCUACGAUUCGGAUCGCAGUUAUCCUCUGAAUCUAGAAGACGGCUCCGAGUACAAAUAUACUCCACCCACACAGCCCCCCAUCUCACCCCCGUACCAGGAGGCUUGCAGGUUGAAGAAGAAUGGACAGCUGGCCAAGGAGCUCCUCCCCCAAGAAUGCUCCAUCAACAGAGUAGACAAGUUGCCCCAGCCUCUGAUUGUCCCUCAGUGUCAUACCUUGCUGGCUCCCAAGGUCUGGAUAUUCACUUCUGAGCCCACCACGACACCUUCCCCAUAUGCCAUUUUCUGUCCUGACUCACGUGGUUCUUUCCUGCCAGGCAACAACUAUAAGAAUCUGGCAAGUGGAAAAAUGUAGCCAAAUAGCUGAGUUCCUUUUCUUUUUCUUCGGCAGGUGGGAGACACUGGAAGGAACUCCUCACCCCUAACUCAUUAAGGGUUUGCAGUAAAAGUCAAACUCAUACAAGUCAGAAGCUGCUGCCUGCCAGGAAAACCAGAAGCUGGCUUGAUAAGUUUGUUUGCAGAUACCAUCUGUGCGCCCUGAACAGACAAGCCUAGAGUGGGUUUCUGCAACAACUCCAUGACAACAAAGAAACAGUGAGGAAGUGUGCAGAGCUGCAGGAGGAAUCUCUCGAGACUGAGCACAUGCCUCUUCUCUCAGCUUCUGGGGUGUCCUGAGCAGGUCCAGGAUUUCCCCCAGAAGCACAGGUUUUUAGCAUGAAUAAGCAUCAAGGACCUCCACCAACUGGGUGGAGGAAAAUAUUACAUCUUCACUAUAACUGAAGUUCAGCUUUAUUCCCAAUCAAUGAGCAUUGACAGCUUAUCAAAUCAUGUACUUUUUAUAUUACAGUUUACAGGCAUCUGAAAUGCUGCUCAUAUUUCUCGCUGCUUUGGAUAAUAGCAGAUUUUAUAAAUCAGUCCUAUAAUUAAACAUCCCAUCUAAUGCUACAUCAGGUAUUUUUAAGACAAUAUCUUCCUAUGUAGGCUAGACUGCCCUCAGACUCAAGAUCCUCCUGCGUCUGCCCCCUGAGUGCUGAGAUUACAGGUCUGUGCCACCAAACCUGGCUACUGUAUCCCAGUUUCAAUUAAAUAUACGGUGAUAACUA